rnacentral:rRNA from 1 species
UGCCUUUGAUACUGGUCAUCUUGAGUUGUAUUGAAGUAGGCGGAAUAUGUAGUGUAGCGGUGAAAUGCAUAGAUAUUACAUAGAACACCAAUUGCGAAGGCAGCUUACUAAGUACUAACUGACGCUGAUGGACGAAAGCGUGGGUAGCGAACAGGAUUAGAUACCCUGGUAGUCCACGCCGUAAACGAUGGAUACUAGCUGUUCGGGGCCUUGAGCUCUGAGCGGCUAAGCGAAAGUGAUAAGUAUCCCACCUGGGGAGUACGUUCGCAAGAAUGAAACUCAAAGGAAUUGACGGGGGCCCGCACAAGCGGUGGAGCAUGUGGUUUAAUUCGAUGAUACGCGAGGAACCUUACCAGGGCUUAAAUGUAGUCUGACAGCUUUAGAGAUAGAGUUUUCUUCGGACAGAUUACAAGGUGCUGCAUGGUUGUCGUCAGCUCGUGCCGUGAGGUGUCAGGUUAAGUCCUAUAACGAGCGCAACCCCUGUCGUUAGUUGCCAGCAUGUCAUGAUGGGGACUCUAACGAGACUGCCGGUGCAAACCGCGAGGAAGGUGGGGAUGACGUCAAAUCAUCACGGCCCUUACGUCCUGGGCCACACACGUGCUACAAUGGCCGGUACAGAGAGCAGCCACGUCGCAAGGCGGAGCGAAUCUAUAAAACCGGUCACAGUUCGGAUCG